rnacentral:rRNA from 1 species
AUUGAACGCUGGCGGCAUGCCUUACACAUGCAAGUCGAACGGCAGCACGGGUGCUUGCACCUGGUGGCGAGUGGCGAACGGGUGAGUAAUACAUCGGAACGUACCUUAUCGUGGGGGAUAACGCAGCGAAAGCUGUGCUAAUACCGCAUACGCCCUGAGGGGGAAAGCGGGGGAUCGCAAGACCUCGCGCGAUUAGAGCGGCCGAUGCCUGAUUAGCUUGUUGGUGGGGUAAAAGCCCACCAAGGCGACGAUGAGUAGCUGGUCUGAGAGGACGAUCAGCCACACUGGGACUGAGACACGGCCCAGACUCCUACGGGAGGCAGCAGUGGGGAAUUUGGGACAAUGGGGGCAACCCUGAUCCAGCAAUGCCGCGUGAGUGAAGAAGGCCUUCGGGUUGUAAAGCUCUUUUGUCAGGGAAGAAACACCGGCUCUAACACAGUCCGGGAAUGACGGUACCUGAAGAAUAAGCACCGGCUAACUACGUGCCAGCAGCCGCCGUAA